GGAGGGUGCAAGCGUUGUUCGGAAUUACUGGGCGUAAAGGGCGUGUAGGCGGCUAGGGCAAGUCAGAUGUGAAAUACCUUGGGCUCAACCAAGGAAGUGCAUUUUGAAACUGCUUAACUAGAGUACAGGAGGGAAAGUGGAAUUCCCAGUGUAGAGGUGAAAUUCAUAGAUAUUGGGAGGAACACCGGUAGCGAAGGCGGCCUUCUGGCCUGAUACUGACGCUGAGACGCGAAAGCGUGGGGAGCAAACAGGAUUAGAUACCCUGGUAGUCCACGCCGUAAACGAUGUGCACUAGGUGUAGGAAGUGUUGACCCUUUCUGUGCCGAAGCUAACGCAUUAAGUGCACCGCCUGGGGAGUACGGUCGCAAGGCUA
rnacentral:rRNA from 1 species